UGAGUACAAGAUGCUACGGCAUUGAAGCAGUCUAUGUCAUACUUCCAAGAAAAGCUUGCAAUGUCAUAAACAAAUAAUGCCUGUACCAUAACCGACACAGGUGGGUAGGUAGAGUAUACUAAGGGGCGCGAGAUAACUCUCUCUAAGGAACUCGGCAAAAUGACUCCGUAACUUCGGGAGAAGGAGUACCUUAUUUUAUAAGGUUGCAAUAACAGGGUCCAAGCAACUGUUUACCAAAAACACAGGUCUCCGCUAAGUCGUAAGACGAUGUAUGGGGGCUGACGCCUGCCCAGUGCCAGGUUAAAGAAGUUGGUUAGCAUUAGCGAAGCUGAUAACUGAAGCCCUGGUGAACGGCGGCCGUAACAAUAACGGUCCUAAGGUAGCGAAAUUCCUUGUCGGGUAAGUUCCGACCCGCACGAAAGGCGUAAUGAUUUGGAUACUGUCUCGGAGAGGGGCUCGGUGAAAUAGACUUGUCUGUGAAGAUGCGGACUACCUGCACCUGGACAGAAAGACCCUAUGAAGCUUUACUGUAACUUGAGAUUGAAAUUGGACUUUAUUUGCGCAGUAUAGGUGGGAGACCUCGAAAGUAUUCUUGCGGGAAUAUUGGAGUCAUCAGUGAGAUACCACUCUUAUAAUGUUAGAUUUCUAACUUUGUAUCAUAUCUGGUCAAAGAACAGUUUCAGGCGGGCAGUUUGACUGGGGCGGUCGCCUCCCAAAUGGUAACGGAGGCGCACAAAGGUUUCCUCUGAACGUGUAGAAAUCGUAUCUAGAGUGUAAAGGCAUAAGGAAGCUUGACUGUGAGACCUACAAGUCGAGCAGGGACGAAAGUCGGUCUUAGUGAUCUGACGGUGCUGAGUGGAAAGGCCGUCACUCAACGGAUAAAAGUUACUCUAAGGAUAACAGGCUGAUCUCCCCCAAGAGUUCACAUCGACGGGGAGGUUUGGCACCUCGAUGUCGGCUCAUCGCAUCCUGGGGCGGUAGUACGUCCCAAGGGUUGGGCUGUUCGCCCAUGAAAGCGGUACGCGAGCUGGGUUCAGAACGUCGUGAGACAGUUCGGUCCAUAUCCGGUGUAGGCGUUAGAAUAUUGAGAGGAGCCUUCUUUAGUACGAGAGGACCGAGAAGGACAUACCUCUGGUGUACCAGUUAUCGUGCCAACGGUAAACGCUGGGUAGCUAUGUAUGGAGAGGAUAACCGCUGAAAGCAUCUAA
rnacentral:rRNA from 1 species